rnacentral:lncRNA from 1 species
GGAGGGUUCUUCAGGAGGGUUCCUCAGGAGGAACCUUCAGGAGGGUUCUUCAGGAGGGUUUUUCAGGAGGGUUCCUCAGGAGGAACCUUCAGGAGGGUUUUUCAGGAGGGUUCCUCAGGAGGAACCUUCAGGAGGGUUUUUCAGGAGGAACCUUCAGGAGGGUUCCUCAGGAGGGUUCCUCAGGAGGGUUCUUCAGGAGGGUUCCUCAGGAGGAACCUUCAGGAGGGUUUUUCAGGAGGAACCUUCAGGAGGGUUCUUCAGGAGGAACCUUCAGGAGGAACCUUCAGGAGGGACCCUCAGGAGAAACCUUCAGGAGGGUUCCUCAGGAGGAACCUUCAGGAGGGUUCUUCAGGAGGGUUCCUCAGGAGAAACCUUCAGGAGGGUUCCUCAGGAGGGUUCCUCAGGAGGAACCUUCAGGAGGGUUCCUCAGGAGGAACCUUCAGGAGGGUUUUUCAGGAGGGUUUCUCAGGAGGGUUUUUCAGGAGGGUUCCUCGGGAGGGUUCCUCGGGAGGGCCCCUCAGGGGAGGCAGCCCAGACCCUCCGUGGCAGGGNGGAGCUGGGCUGGCCAUGGCAGUGACCAGAGCAGCUCAGUCCUGGCAGGAAUCUGCUCUGCUGGGCAUUCCCAGACAGGAAUCUGCUCUCCUGGGCAUUCCCAGACAGGAAUCUGCUCUCCUGGGCAUUCCCAAGAUUGGCAGGAAUCUGCUCUCCUGGGCAUUCCCAGACAGGAAUCUGCUCUCCUGGGCAUUCCCAGACAGGAGUCUGCUCUGCUGGGCAUUCCCAGGGCUGGAGAUGCCAUCCCACAGCCCAGAGCCAGCUGUUGCUGGGACACAGGGCCAGGUGAUGGGCACAAAGUGUCACCCUGGCUCCUGCCAUGCUCUGGGCAGCGUUUUGUUCUCAUCCAAACACCCCCAUGGUCAGACAUCUCCAGUUUCUAUCCAAGAUUUUGUAUUUGCUGGGUGUAGGGGAAGGCACUUGAGUGUCUGAUGGGCCUCCUUGGGUGGCUCUUUGUGUUUGAAAAACCAAAUUGGGCUGAGCUCAGGGUGCUGGGCAGCCCCUCAGGGCUCACUGGGGACGUGCUGGUGGCUCUGUGCUCCCUGACAGCUCCUGGCUUCCUCCACUUGCACUGAGGGAAAUGAAAGCACAGAGGCCCCGUGUUCUGAGGGUGCUGAUGGAGCACAAAUCACCCAGGGAGGGUGAGGGUGAGGGGGCCUCGCUGCAUCCUGGUCAGGGAACAGAGCUCUGGAUGUUUUUGAUGGAAAAGCACUGAAUUCACUUUUAAUCCAAAGGCCUUUUUAAGCUGAAGCAAUAUUCCCCCAGCAGUGGGGCAGCUGAGAGGUGCAGGGGUGCUCAGCCUUCCCUUCCCUGUCCUUUGUACUUGUGCUCCCCUCCCUUCUCCCUGGGAGCCCAGCACUGGUGGUGGGGAGCAAAACAAUUCCUGGGGGGUUUUCCAAGGAACAGGAGGUGCCCAGG